CAGGAUUCUGCAGUGGGGGACCUUGGGAUAAGAAAAGCACUCAGCCAUUGGGACAAAUCUGUUCUUCAGAUAGGAUCCUCUCAGUGUCAGCUUGGUGCUGGUCAGAAAUGGGCAGCAGCAACACCCGGAAGGAAAAAUAAUUUCAAACGUGGAAGAAUCCGGGAUUCCCUGAUGUCUUUCUCUGCUGCAUGAAUAAAACACCACACAGCCACAGUGUUUAUUCUCUUCUUCAUCCUAAUGAAAGAGUGGGAGGUGAGCAAAUGGCCACGUGGGGCUGAAUUGCUGCCAGAGGUUAAACCAUGACACCUUGGCACAUCUUCCAGCCCAAACUUGCUCCAGAACCCAGGAGAGAAUGAAAC